GACGAACGCUGGCGGCGUGCUUAACACAUGCAAGUCGAACGAUGAAGCCUAGCUUGCUAGGUGGAUUAGUGGCGAACGGGUGAGUAAUACGUGAGUGACCUACCUUUGACUCUGGGAUAAGCCUGGGAAACUGGGUCUAAUACCGGAUACGACCAAUCUCCGCAUGGGGUGUUGGUGGAAUGCGUUAUGGAGUGGUUUUAGAUGGGCUCACGGCCUAUCAGCUUGUUGGUGAGGUAAUGGCUUACCAAGGCGACGACGGGUAGCCGGCCUGAGAGGGUGACCGGCCACACUGGGACUGAGACACGGCCCAGACUCCUACGGGAGGCAGCAGUGGGGAAUAUUGCACAAUGGGCGCAAGCCUGAUGCAGCGACGCCGCGUGAGGGAUGACGGCCUUCGGGUUGUAAACCUCUGUUAGCAUCGAAGAAGCGAGAGUGACGGUAGGUGCAGAGAAAGCGCCGGCUAACUACGUG
rnacentral:rRNA from 1 species